GAUGAACGCUGGCGGCGUGCCUAAUACAUGCAAGUCGAGCGAAUGGAUUAAGAGCUUGCUCUUAUGAAGUUAGCGGCGGACGGGUGAGUAACACGUGGGUAACCUGCCCAUAAGACUGGGAUAACUCCGGGAAACCGGGGCUAAUACCGGAUAAUAUUUUGAACUGCAUGGUUCAAAAUUGAAAGGCGGCUUCGGCUGUCACUUAUGGAUGGACCCGCGUCGCAUUAGCUAGUUGGUGAGGUAACGGCUCACCAAGGCAACGAUGCGUAGCCGACCUGAGAGGGUGAUCGGCCACACGGGGACUGCGAAACGGCCCAGACUCCUACGGGAGGCAGCAGUAGGGAAUCUUCCGCAAUGGACGAAAGUCUGACGGAGCAACGCCGCGUGAGUGAUGAAGGCUUUCGGGUCGUAAAACUCUGUUGUUAGGGAAGAACAAGUGCUAGUUGAAUAAGCUGGCACCUUGACGGUACCUAACCAGAAAGCCACGGCUAACUACGUGCCAGCCGCCGCGGUAA
rnacentral:rRNA from 1 species